AGAGUUUGAUCCUGGCUCAGAAUGAACGCUGGCGGCGUGCCUAACACAUGCAAGUCGCACGAGAAAGUCUGAUUUCGGUUGGGCGAGUAAAGUGGCGCACGGGUGAGUAACGCGUAGGUAACCUACCCCCGGGUCCGGGAUAACAGUGCGAAAGCGCUGCUAAUACCGGAUACGCCCUUGGGACGGGAGUCUCAAGGUGAAAGUCGGCCUCUCGAAGAAGCCGGUGUUCGGGGAUGGGCCUGCGUCCUAUCAGCUAGUUGGUAGGGUAACGGCCUACCAAGGCUACGACGGGUAGCUGGUCUGAGAGGAUGAUCAGCCACACUGGCACUGGAACACGGGUCAGACUCCUACGGGAGGCAGCAGUGAGGAAUUUUGCGCAAUGGGAGCAAGCCUGAUCCAGCGACGCCGCGUGAGUGAUGAAGGCCUUUGGGUCGUAAAGCUCUGUCAGCAGGGAAGAACGGCCGUGCGGUUAGUACCCGUGCGGAUUGACGGUACCUGCAGAGGAAGCACCGGCUAACUCCGUGCCAGCAGCCGCGGUAAUACGGAGGGUGCGAGCGUUAAUCGGAAUUACUGGGCGUAAAGGGCGCGUAGGCGACCGAUCAAGUCAGAUGUGAAAGCCCACGGCUUAACCGUGUGAAGUGCAUCUGAAACUGGUCGGCUUGAGUAUCGGAGAGGAAAGUGGAAUUCCCGGUGUAGAGGUGAAAUUCGUAGAUAUCGGGAGGAAUACCGGUGGCGAAGGCGACUUUCUGGACGAAUACUGACGCUGAGGCGCGAAAGCGUGGGGAGCAAACAGGAUUAGAUACCCUGGUAGUCC
rnacentral:rRNA from 1 species